rnacentral:tRNA from 1 species
GCCUGGGUGGCUCAGUCGGUUGAGCGUCCGACUUCGGCUCAGGUCAUGAUCUCACAGUUCGUGGGUUCGAGCCCCGCGUUGGGCU